rnacentral:rRNA from 1 species
GAUGAACGCUGGCGGCGUGCUUAACACAUGCAAGUCGAACGGUGAAGGCGGAGCUUGCUCUGCUGGAUCAGUGGCGAACGGGUGAGUAACACGUGAGCAAUCUGCCCCUGACUCUAGGAUAAGCGCUGGAAACGGCGUCUAAUACUGGAUACGAGCUGCGAAGGCAUCUUCAGCAGCUGGAAAGAACUUCGGUCAGGGAUGAGCUCGCGGCCUAUCAGCUUGUUGGUGAGGUAACGGCUCACCAAGGCGUCGACGGGUAGCCGGCCUGAGAGGGUGACCGGCCACACUGGGACUGAGACACGGCCCAGACUCCUACGGGAGGCAGCAGUGGGGAAUAUUGCACAAUGGGCGAAAGCCUGAUGCAGCAACGCCGCGUGAGGGACGACGGCCUUCGGGUUGUAAACCUCUUUUAGCAGGGAAGAAGCGAAAGUGACGGUACCUGCAGAAAAAGCGCCGGCUAACUACGUG